GAUGAACGCUGACAGAAUGCUUAACACAUGCAAGUCGAUGGGGAAGUGGUGCUUGCACCCUGGUAACCAUGGCGGACGGGUGAGUAACGCGUAAGGAACUUGCCUGCGGGACUGGGAUAACAGCAGGAAACUGCUGAUAAUACCGGAUAAGGUCAUUAAGCUGCAUAGCUUAGUGAUGAAAGGAGACGCCUGCGGAGAGCCUUGCGUCCUAUUAGCUAGUUGGAGGGGUAACGGCCCACCAAGGCGAAGAUAGGUAGCCGGCCUGAGAGGGUGGACGGCCAAAAGGGGACUGAGAUACGGCACUUACUCCUACGGGAGGCAGCAGUGGGGAAUAUUGGACAAUGGGGGCAACCCUGAUCCAGCAAUUCUGUGUGCACGAAGACGGUUUUCGGAUUGUAAAGUGCCUUCAGCAGGGAAGAAGGAAGUGACGGUACCUGCAGAAGAAGCGACGGCUAAAUACGUG
rnacentral:rRNA from 1 species